rnacentral:rRNA from 1 species
CUCCUACGGGAGGCAGCAGUGGGGAAUAUUGCACAAUGGGCGCAAGCCUGAUGCAGCCAUGCCGCGUGUGUGAAGAAGGCCUUCGGGUUGUAAAGCACUUUCAGUUGUGAGGAAGGUGGUGUCGUUAAUAGCGGCAUCAUUUGACGUUAGCAACAGAAGAAGCACCGGCUAACUCCGUGCCAGCAGCCGCGGUAAUACGGAGGGUGCGAGCGUUAAUCGGAAUUACUGGGCGUAAAGCGCAUGCAGGUGGUUUGUUAAGUCAGAUGUGAAAGCCCGGGGCUCAACCUCGGAACUGCAUUUGAAACUGGCAGACUAGAGUACUGUAGAGGGGGUAGAAUUUCAGGUGUAGCGGUGAAAUGCGUAGAGAUCUGAAGGAAUACCGGUGGCGAAGGCGGCCCCCUGGACAGAUACUGACACUCAGAUGCGAAAGCGUGGGGAGCAAACAGGAUUAGAUACCCUGGUAG